rnacentral:lncRNA from 1 species
CUGGGGACCCGCGUGGGGCGCAGUCUAGGCGGAGGCCAGCGCAGAUGCCCAGUCACGAUUCCGUGAGCAUUCGCCCCCACCGACGACGCGAGAUUUCUGCUCUUUGGCGAUUGUCACUGAUUUCACCUGCGUUAAAAAGGCUGUCAGGAGAGUAGGCACUGGGACUUCCCAAAGAAGGGACCAAGCUGUACUCCCCCUUCUUCUCUGACCUUUUCAUAAGGACCAAGAGUUGGACUGGCAACACAGUGAAAAGGUUGAACCAAAAGUCACCAAUUUACCUGUGAGAAUAAAGGUCCACAUCCAAAGC